GACGAACGCUGGCGGCGUGCUUAACACAUGCAAGUCGAACGGAAAGGCCCCCAUCUUGGUGGGGGUGCUCGAGUGGCGAACGGGUGAGUAACACGUGGGUGAUCUGCCCUGUACUUCGGGAUAAGCUUGGGAAACUGGGUCUAAUACCGGAUAGGACCAUGGUUUAGUGUCUCAUGGUGGAAAGAUUAUUGUUUUGGUGCAGGAUGAGCUCGCGGCCUAUCAGCUUGUUGGUGGGGUAAUGGCCUACCAAGGCGUCGACGGGUAGCCGGCCUGAGAGGGUGGACGGCCACAUUGGGACUGAGAUACGGCCCAGACUCCUACGGGAGGCAGCAGUGGGGAAUAUUGCACAAUGGGCGCAAGACUGAUGCAGCGACGCCGCGUGGGGGAUGACGGCCGUCGGGUUGUAAACUCCUUUCGUUAGGGACGAAGCCGCACUUUUUUUGGGUGUGGUGACGGUACCUUUGCUAAGAAGCACCGGCUAACUACGUG
rnacentral:rRNA from 1 species